AAUCUCUUGCCCAUGUUGAGUAGUUAUCAGAUCCGAUUAACUAUUGCUUGAUAAGGGUAAUUAACGAUCCAUCGGAGACCGGUGAGAAGAGGACAUCGCCUGAUUCAGGGCGGUGACCGAUGGGUCGAACCAUUUGGAAGGUGAAAGGAUAUGGGUUUUGACCCGUGGGUUGAGUUGAAUCCGGGUUGUAACCCGAUAUACCAAAGGGGAAUGGGUUUGGGCCUAUAGUGAGAGGGACAGAAAAAAAAAUAAAGUUGCGGAAGCUAAAUGAAACAUAAUGGCUCUAAUACCAUGUCAGAAUAUGAUAAAGAAAGAUAGGCAAGAGAGGCAGAGGAACAAAGAUGACAGAGUGCCUAGAAGAUAAAGGAAGAAGAUGAAAGAAUAUUUAUUUUCUGUGUAUUUCAGUAUUGUAAUGUGUCUAAUUUAUACAAGUUUAUAAGUGUAAAAUAUGGAAAUACAAUCAAAUAUAAUCAAUGUAAUUACAUGAAA